rnacentral:rRNA from 1 species
UCCGGUUGAUCCUGCCGGAGGCUACCGCUAUUGGAGUUCGAUUAAGCCAUGCGAGUCGCGAGUCUUAGGGACUCGGCGUACCGCUCAGUAACACGUGGGUAACCUGCCCUAUGCUGGGGGAUAACCUCGGGAAACUGAGAAUAAUACCCUAUAGUUCACCACGCCUGGAACGGUGGGUGGAUGAAAGCUCCGGCGGCAUAGGAUGGGCCUGCGGCGUAUCAGGUUGUAGGGGGUGUAAUGUACCCUCUAGCCCUCUACGCGUACGGGUGUUGAGAGACAUAGCCCGGAGAUGGAUUCUGAGACACGAAUCCAGACCCUACGGGGUGCAGCAGGCGCGAAAACUUGGCAAUGCGAGAAAUCGUGACCAGGGAACUCCAAGUGCAUCGGGUAAGACCGAUGCUUUUCUUGACUCUUCAAAGGUCUUGGAAUAAGGGGUGGGUAAGGACGGUGCCAGCCGCCGCGGUAAUACCGGCGCCCCAAGUGGUAGUCGCUUUUAUUGGGCCUAAAACGUCCGUAGCCGGUCUGGUACAUUCGUGGGUAAAUCAACCAGCUCAACUGGUUGAAUUCUGCGAGCACGGCCAGACUUGGGACCGGGAGAGGUGUGGGGUACUCUCAGGGUAGGGGUAAAAUCCUGUCAUCCUGAGAGGACCACCUGUUGCGAAGGCGCCACACUAGAACGGAUCCGACGGUCAGGGACGAAGCCUAGGGGCACGAACCGGAUUAGAUACCCGGGUAGUCCUAGGUGUAAACGCUGUGGACUUGAUGUUGGGGGCGCUCCGAGCGCACUCAGUGUCGAAGCGAAGGUGAUAAGUCCACUGCCUGGGGAGUACGGUCGCAAGGCUGAAACUUAAAGGAAUUGGCGGGGGAGCACCGCAACCUGAGGAUUGUGCGGUUUAAUUGGAUUCAACGCCGGAAAACUCACCAUAGCCGACGGACAGAUGAAGGCCAGCGUAAUGAGCUUGCCGGAUUGUUCGAGAGGUAGUGCAUGGCCGUCGUCAGUUCGUACCGCAAGGCGUUCUGUUAAGUCAGAUAACGAACGAGACCCUCAUCCCUAUU